CAGCAGCCGCGGUAAAACGGAGGGAGCUAGCGUUGUUCGGAAUUACUGGGCGUAAAGCGCGCGUAGGCGGUUACUCAAGUCAGAGGUGAAAGCCCGGGGCUCAACCCCGGAACUGCCUUUGAAACUAGGUGACUAGAAUCUUGGAGAGGUCAGUGGAAUUCCGAGUGUAGAGGUGAAAUUCGUAGAUAUUCGGAAGAACACCAGUGGCGAAGGCGACUGACUGGACAAGUAUUGACGCUGAGGUGCGAAAGCGUGGGGAGCAAACAGGAUUAGAUACCCCCGUAGUCCCUGUCUCUUAUAC
rnacentral:rRNA from 1 species